rnacentral:rRNA from 1 species
UACAGAGGGGGCCAGCGUUAUUCGGAAUUAUUGGGCGUAAAGGGCGCGUAGGCGGCCAUGCGUGUCUUUCGUGAAAUCCCUCGGCUUAACUGAGGACGUGCGGAAGAAACUGCAAGGCUUGAGUCCGGGAGAGGGGGGUGGAAUUCCCAGUGUAGCGGUGAAAUGCGUAGAUAUUGGGAGUAACACCGGUGGCGAAGGCGGCUACCUGGACCGGUUCUGACGCUGAUGCGCGAAAGCGUGGGUAGCAAACAGG